AUGUGAUACGAGCGCUCCCGUCAUGCUAAUGCCACAAGCCGCGGCUUUUCUCGGUUCUACAUCGCACGCUCCGUGCCACGUUGCCAGUUUUGCAUCAUUCCAUAGUAUCUAUUUUCCUGCAAAUCUAUUGUCUCUUGGUGUUACGCACAUCUCACUUUACCGGGCGAUAACUUCCACCUACCAGGCGUUCCAGUGCCGAAGACAUCUCAGCGAAAGGAACUAAGGACUGACAAUGAAGACUUUAGGAAUGGUGAUCACACUAACAGCCCAUAUUAUGUUAGCCUCAUGCGCACCUCAAGACUGUGAUACCAGAAAUGGUGGACCAUUUGGAUGCAGGGUUGGCAGAAAUCAUAUUCCUAAUGGUGCAACCAUGAACCUAAGGCAUCCCUGUGUUCGAGCUACGUGUAGCAUGGAUGGCAACAGUCUAACUGUUAUGGGGUGCUCUUUCCAAGGUGGAUUUUAUCAGCAUCCUGGAUCGGCAGCAGCUCCUCCAGUAGCUCCUAAGCAUUACCCUUACUGCUGUAGACACUGCAGCGCUGUCCGCUGAUAAGAGAAGGUAUGCUUCAAGCGCGCUCGCAGAGAUCACGUGUUCUUAAGCUGUCGCUAAUUUUACAGCGGCACAUUGCGACAGUUGUGGUACGUUGUGUACGUUGAACUUCCGGCCU
rnacentral:lncRNA from 1 species